rnacentral:rRNA from 1 species
GGUAAUACGGAGGAUCCGAGCGUUAUCCGGAAUUAUUGGGUUUAAAGGGUUCGUAGGCGGCUUUGUAAGUCAGUGGUGAAAUUUCCUAGCUUAACUAGGACACUGCCAUUGAUACUGCAGAGCUUGAAUAAUAUGGAAGUAACUAGAAUAUGUAGUGUAGCGGUGAAAUGCUUAGAUAUUACAUGGAAUACCAAUUGCGAAGGCAGGUUACUACGUAUUUAUUGACGCUGAUGAACGAAAGCGUGGGGAGCGAACAGGAUUAGAUACCCUGGUAGUCCACGCCGUAAACGAUGGAUACUAGCUGUUCGGUUUUCGGACUGAGUGGCUAAGCGAAAGUGAUAAGUAUCCCACCUGGGGAGUACGUUCGCAAGAAUGAAACUCAAAGGAAUUGACGGGGGCCCGCACAAGCGGUGGAGCAUGUGGUUUAAUUCGAUGAUACGCGAGGAACCUUACCAGGGCUUAAAUGUAGAUUGACAGAUUUGGAAACAGAUUUUUCUUCGGACAAUUUACAAGGUGCUGCAUGGUUGUCGUCAGCUCGUGCCGUGAGGUGUCAGGUUAAGUCCUAUAACGAGCGCAACCCCUAUUGUUAGUUACCAGCGCGUAGUGGCGGGGACUCUAGCAAGACUGCCGGUGCAAACCGUGAGGAAGGUGGGGAUGACGUCAAAUCAUCACGGCCCUUACGUCCUGGGCUACACACGUGCUACAAUGGCAAGUACAGAAAGCAGCUACCUGGCAACAGGAUGCGAAUCUCCAAAGCUUGUCUCAGUUCGGAUUGGAGUCUGCAACUCGACUCUAUGAAGCUGGAAUCGCUAGUAAUCGGAUAUCAGCCAUGAUCCGGUGAAUACGUUCCCGGGCCUUGUACACACCGCCCGUCAAGCCAUGGAAGCUGGGGGUACCUGAAGUCGGUGACCGCAAGGAGCUG